rnacentral:tRNA from 2 species
GGACCGGUAGCUCAGGUGGUUAGAGCGCACGCCUGAUAAGCGUGAGGUCGGUGGUUCAAGUCCACCUCGGUCCA